rnacentral:rRNA from 3 species
AACUUUCAGCAACGGAUCUCUUGGCUCUCGCAUCGAUGAAGAACGCAGCGAAAUGCGAUAAGUAAUGUGAAUUGCAGAAUUCAGUGAAUCAUCGAAUCUUUGAACGCACCUUGCGCCCUUUGGCUAUUCCGAAGGGCAUGCCUGUUUGAGUAUC